CACACACACACACACACACACUAGCUGCACCACAAAUACACACACUAACUGCACUGUUCUCUCACACACACAUACACUAGCUUCACCCAUCACACACACAGUACCCCUCACACACUGACUGCACCCACCUCUCAAACACACACGCUGCCACACUGCACCCUUCACACACACACACACACACACACAUAGACUGCAUCACUCACACAUACAUUACAGUCU